CUAAAAUAGUAAUAGUUAUAUUCUUGAAACUUAAAGGAUUUGGCGGUGCUUUAGACCAGUUAGAGGAACCUGUUGCCAGAAAACGAUAAACCACGCAGAAUCUUACUCAAGUUUGUAUACCGUCAUUAUUAGAUGAUUUUAGGAGAAUUAAUCAUUGUAAUAGAAAAAAUCUAGUAUAUUAGAUCAAGGUGCAGCUUAUAAGUGAGCGGGAAUGGGUUACAAUAUAACUUAUAUAUUAUGGAUAUGAAAAGUCGUUGAAGGAGGAUUUAAUUGUAUAAAGGAUUAAUAAGAAAUUUUGAUAUAGGCUCUAAAGCAUGUACACAUCGCCCGUCGCUCUU
rnacentral:rRNA from 1 species